UCGGGAAUUUUGGGCAAUGGGCGAAAGCCUGACCCAGCAACGCCGCGUGAAGGAUGAAAUCCUUCGGGAUGUAAACUUCGCAAGAACGGGAAGAAUAAGUAAGGGUUAAUAUCUCUUACGAUGACGGUACUGUUUGUAAGCUCCGGCUAACUCCGUGCCAGCAGCCGCGGUAAUACGGGGGGAGCAAGCGUUGUUCGGAUUUACUGGGCGUAAAGGGCGCGUAGGCGGCCACCGCAAGUCAGUUGUGAAAUCUCUGGGCUUAACCCAGAAAGGUCAACUGAUACUGCGGGGCUAGAGUGCAGAAGGGGCAACUGGAAUUCUCGGUGUAGCGGUGAAAUGCGUAGAUAUCGAGAGGAACACCUGCGGCGAAGGCGGGUUGCUGGGCUGACACUGACGCUGAGGCGCGAAAGCUAGGGGAGCGAACGGGAUUAGAUACCCCGGUAGUCCUAGCCUUAAACGAUGAAUGCUUGGUGUCUGGGGUUUUAUAGUCCCCGGGUGCCGUCGCUAACGCUUUAAGCUUUCCGCCUGGGGAGUACGGUCGCAAGACUGA
rnacentral:rRNA from 1 species